GGCAGGACCCAACCUAAACGGAAAAGCAUUUUUAAAGUUGAUUUUUACUAUUGCUAAAAAAACUAAUUUAAAAUUUAUUUAUACUAUAGCUAAACAAAAUCUUGUCGUACACACAAAUUUCUUAGGACAUACAUUAUUUUAUCACAAAAGCGAAACAAAGGGAAAAGAAGAUGGAUGUACCAUUUACGGGACAUUAAAUGGGGGCUUGCGGUCAUGGAUCUACACUCAAACCAUAAGUGAAAGAGAAAAAAUAGAGCAAUGUAAGGAGUGAACAAGCAGUAACUUUUGGGUGAUGUUUCUGCAAGUAAGAGUGGCGGAAAAAAGCUUGUUCGCAGUUGCAAGAACAAAGAGACGAGAGAACAACCAAUGCUAUGUCUUCCUUACUUUUUUAUUUUCAAGAGGCUUCCAAACAUGGUUAUUUAUAGCAGAUCUGCUGGGGUUAAUCCUUUGAACGGGAAUUGGGCUCCUCAAAUUUUAACAUUGAAAUUCAAAUAUUGGAAUUUGUCUCUACUCAAUCUUCACGUGAUUGAAAGUAUUCAUCACAAAAAUGGAGUAGCAACCUCUUCCACCAUAGUGAAAGAUUGAAAUUUUGCUUGAGAGAGGUAAAGGUACGUUGAACAAGAGAGAAGAACGAGAGGAGGAAGCGACCCUUUUGGGAG
rnacentral:lncRNA from 1 species